UGGUUAGGGUUUGGUUUGGAAAAUUACAUAUAUUAAUAAACAACGCUACUACAAACCUCGACAAACUAAGGCGCGAAUGCCUCGAAUUGAGCUGGCAGUUCAAACUCUGGGUACAUUUCACGCGCCUCACUCGGUGUAUAUCUCACGAGCCUUGAAGACUGAAGAGAACAAAUCUGCGUAUCUAGGAGAUAGAGAGGCAGACGACCACGACCCAAGGGCUUGACCCCAACGAUGACGACGACGACCUAGGUGGCCACCGACGACAAGGAAGACCAUCGUUGAGCAUCAACCACGGUCUAGCAACCUCCAAAUCGUCCAGUUUCUCUGAAAAUUUCAGCCUCCAAUGGCCAAGAAGCAACUGAUUCGAGAAGCUUCAUUUUAGCAACAAAAGGAUGGAAGGUUCAAACAAUCCUAGUCAAGAAGUUGAAGAACCUGAGAGUGGUGAAGUUGAAGAACCAAAGCAGGGGAUGUGUUUUACUUCAAAGCAAGAAGUGUAUGCAUUUUAUGCAAAAUAUGCGAAGCACUUUGGAUUUGCUAUAGCUUAUGGAACACAAAAAUUUGGUAAUGAUGGGGAACUAAAAUACUUCGGAAUUGAAUGUACUCGAGCAAGGAUGAGAA